GGGGCUAUAGCUCAGCAGGUAGAGCACCUGCCUUGCACGCAGGAAGUCGGCGGUUCGAUUCCGCCUGGCUCCA
rnacentral:tRNA from 1 species